GGUUUAUCCCCACGGUUAUUAGACUUUAUUACGGUUGUCUUGUCCGACGGUGGUGGGGAGACUUAUAUUUUUGACUUUACGUCACAAGAGUUUACAUUCCCAUAUUUUUAAAUGAUUUUCGAUCAUUGAAUGUGUGUUAUUGUGUAUAUAUGUGUAUUAUUUGUGUUAUUAUGAAAUAAUUAGACAAAUAGUACACUUUUUGUCUUAUACCGGGUGGUGAAUCGUAAAAAGGGCCAUAGAAAACUCAAUGUAAAAUUCUGAAUUGUUGAAUUCCUGCUUUCCUAAUUAUUUUACAUCAAAAGUCAUGAGAGAAUACUUGUAGAGAAUUAAAAUCUGUAUUAAAAUCAAAAGUUAAAAUUGUUCUACGAUUUAAAUGCAUUCCAAAAUUUUGAAAAAUAUGAUACAUUUGCCACAAUAGGUAUGCGUGUAAAAGUAAGGCCACACGUUACUAUUUAACUGACAGUGCUCACACCAUUGACUGAAUAAAAAAAUCUUUAUUAUUAAUCCUUUCUCCGCAACUGAGAGUAUCUUAUCAACUGUAUUGUUUUUAAACAAUAGAUGAUAAAAUAAAAAUAUUGACAGUUCAAAAAUGUGAACAUUAUUGCAUUGUGUGUGGCCUAAGUUUGGGCUGAAAACUAAAAUGUAUUACAUUUUUACAAAAUUUUGGAAUAUGUUUAAUUACGUAGACCAAUAUUAACAGUUAUUUCCAAUACAGAUUUCAAUCCUCUACAAAUAGUUUCUAAUGUCUUUUGAUGUACAAUAAUUAUUAGGGAAGCUGGAAUUCAACAGUUCAGAAUUUUACAUUGAGUUAAUGCAAAAUUUUGACGCAUGUCAAAAUUCUCAAUGUGUUUUAAUUGUAUUCAUUUUUUUCGAAUCCUGAGAAAACUAAUAAAUAUUUUUGAAAAAUUUAAACUCAGAAUGAAAGACUACAUUAUUACCGAGGGCUGAAAGUCCCUGAAAACUUCUAGAAUGUUUAUAUUAAUAAGUUACAGGGCUGAAAAUAAAAGAGAAGUGUGAUCUUUAAUUUCAAAUAUUUCAUUCAAUAGAAUCUGCUUGUUUAUUCUAAGGGGCUUUCCGCCCUCGGUAAUAAUGUAAUCUUGCAUCCUGCGUUUAAAUUUUUCUAAAAUACUUGGUUUUCUCAGGAUUCGAAAAAAAUCAUAUUACGAUUCAAAUGACAGUAAACUCUCGUGACGUAAUCUCACCCUUAAUGUUCAUUGGUUAGUCGAUUUAGGCAACCGUAGUAAUGUCUAAGAACCGUGGUUUAUCCCAAUACCAAUUACGGGAUCAAAUAGCAAAAUAAUUCAAUAAAAUAUUAACUUGCGUUAACUUUACGUUAAUGAAAUACAGUCAAACCUGUCACUAACGGCCACUAAAAUGAAAGAACUAUUGGCCGAUAUAGAAAAGUGGUCGUUAUUGCCAGUUUUUGUAGCCUAGAUAUACAGUACAACCUGUGUUACUGGCCACCUGUACUAACGGCCAGUUUAAAAAUUCCCCAAACCAAUUAUAUCUAGACUACAAAAACUGGCAAUACUGGUCACCUUUCUAUAUCGUCCAAUAGCUUUUUCAUUUUUAGCGGCCGUUACUGACAGGUUUUACUGUAAUUAGUGUGGGGAAUUUUUAAACUGGCCGUUAGUACAGGUGGCCGGUGUUGGCAGGGGGCCGGUAACACAAGUUUUACUGUAGUUUAAAUCGAAAAGAUUAAAUCUUAAUUCAAAAUUGUAUAUUAAAUUAUUACAAUUAUAAACUAUAUAGUUUAAUAUCCAAAACAUGUUUUGAUUUCAUGUAAUGUAAUGAAAAUCUUAUUUGUAAAUUAUUGGUUACAAUGUUUAACAACAGGAAAUAUUCAAGAAUAAAUAAAAUAAAAGUUUCCCCUAACAACAAAACAUUCCAGGAAUUCUACUAUCAAAGUUCUAUUCCGUGAACAUCUGAUUAAAUUAUGGCUGGAAAGUUACCACAAGAUAUUCUAUGAAAAGAGUACAAUGUCCUCCUGGAGGGGUAAAAUUUUCCAUACUCUAAAGAGAGGCCAUUUACUAUUCAAUUUGCGUUCAUUUUCAAAUUUGCCGCGCGAGUAUCUAUGUAGCGUCGCGUGGUCAUUGGUCAUCAAGUCAUUUUAUUUCAUUUUCAUCAUAAGAUAACCUAAAAAUUUAGUAAAAAUUUUGAUUGGAAAAAAAUGCAUCGAUAAGGGGGUGAAAAAUGGAAAUUAGUGGCUUUUUUUUGCUGUACUCAACUGUACUGUUUAGUAUUUAUGCUAGUUUUGGCUAUGGCUGGAUCUCUUAAACAAUUAUAAUCAGCUGAAAGUGGUCUACAAAAAACCAGAUAUAACCAAAAUAAAGAUAUAAAAAGUGUAUUGGCUAAUUGGAAGAAACUCAACAUUGUCCAUGCAUAAUAAGUUAUUACUUUAUAAACAAAUAUUAAGACCUAGGAAUGGAACCUGGAUAUAAUCAUCAAGAAGAUAGCAGGAAUCCCGACAAACAACAGGAAAUCCAGCUCCUCGAUACUACUGGGCAAACUAGAAGAUUGAAGAGGACAAAGCCUUUUGAACUAGUUUGAGUGAUAGGUGAUAGUGAAAAGCAGAGCAUAGUGCGUGAUGUGGCUGUGUAUGUUAGAAUAGUGCACGAUCUUGUUAGAUUAGAUAAGAGACAGUAUCGGGUAAGCUCUUCAUUUUAAGAAACAGUUGUAAUUUAGGUUAAAUUAAAAUUGCUCAUUGGUCAGUUAUGACCAGAUUGCUUUUUUUUAUGUUUGACAAAAAGGGCGUAAGUCAGAAUUGCACAUUGCUAAUGUUUUGAUGAUUUCUGGACCAGCAAAAAACUGUUGUAGACGUAAACUGUAUGUACCAAUAAAAAGAGCCGAUUUUUCUGGUCCAGAAAUCAUCAAAACAUUAUCGAUGUGCAUUUCUGACUUAAGCCCUUUUUCCCAAACAUCAGAGAAUUGCAAUGUACAAAUUCUCCUAUCUGAUUUUUCAUGAAUUUUGUAGGAGACGAAAAACCAUUUUUAGGAUCAUCUCCUGCUUUCACAUGUAAAUUUUGACAUGUCUUGUAGUAAAUAAAUAGUUGAAUUUACUACAAAACAUGUCAAAAAAUAUAUGAAAACAGGAGGUGACCAUAAAAAAAGUUUUUAGUCUCUCUUAAAAAAACUCAUGAAAAAACAAAUCGGAGGUAUGUCACAUCAGUGACUAUAUCCAGGGAAUGUCUAAAAAAUAUACUUUGAUGUCCCAAGAACCAAAUAUAACCUUUAUAUAUAUAUACAGGGUGUAACAAAAAUACAGGUCAUAAAUUUAAUCACAUAUCCUGGGACCAAAAAUAGUUUGAUUGGACCUAACUUACCUUAGUACAAAUGUGCACAAAAGAAAAGUUACAGCCCUUUGAAGUUAUAUAUUAAUAGCACCAAGGGCCUUAGAGGCCCAUGGCUUGAAAAGUUUGUUUUUUUCUUCAUUUUCACGUUUCUUUAUGUACUGAGAUCUUCUCUGGCUUGAUAUGUGAUUUUUCUCCAUUCCUUCCUCUUAUUCAUUUUUCUUUUCUGACCCUGUAACACCAUUCUUUCCAAAUCUUUUUCGACCUCUUGCUUCCAUCUAUUUUCCGGUCUUCCUCUUCUCUUUCUUGAAGCUAUAGUGUAGUUUAGUACCCUUUUCGGAGUCCUCGUUUUUGGCAUCCUUUCAAUGUGACCUCGUGAUCUAAGUCUCUGUGCCUUUAUCACUCAUUUGAAGUUACAAAAUGAAAAGUGAUUUUUUCCAAUGUAUCGAAAACAAUGUGCUUUUGUGCACGUUUCAAUUUAAUUAUUAUUGUAGUACCUACCAUUUAAACAACAUUUUAAAAACUUUUUUGCCUCUUAUUGCUUUUUCAAAAAGUCAAUUUUUAUCGAAAUAUUUUGAAUAUUUGUCAAAUCCACCACAUAUUUGUAUAUGGUUAAGUACGAUUAUGGAGACUUGGUAAUAAUAUGCAAACUUAUUUAUGCUUUACAUUUUUAGGUAUAUUUUGAACCAUAUUAAAAAAGAAGCCAGACUCGAUAAAACGUGCCUUAUCGAAAAAAUACAAAGAGGCAAAAAAGUUUUGAAAACACUCUGUUUAA